GGGGAUGAUUAGGAUUCGACUGGAAGAGUGAAGUCAAAACAGCAUGUAGAGGCGUGGGUGGCCUCUUAAAAAACCCACAAAAAGAUAAUCGCAAACGAUGAAUCUUACGCUUUAGCUGCUUAAUAACCAGCGACAAGCAAACCCUGUAGUCAGAGCCUAAAAAACUUUUGGACUACCCGGAGCCUGGAUUUGACAAUAGGUUCAGAAUCUCCGGAUCCCAAUAUUGUAUCGGGUGAAUCCUCGACUGAAGGAGUAGCCUUAAAUCUAUUCAGUCUGGUAAGUCUGCAGCGUGUCGGUCCGCGUCUGGCUUACGAGAUUAAAAGAUUCGACUAAACAUGUAGACGUUGAGAUCUAGCCUUUUGGGACGCGGGUUCAAAUCCCGCCAUCUCCACCA
rnacentral:tmRNA from 1 species